UAGACAAACGCUGGUAUUUUAUAAUACUUGAGGAAAGUCCAUGCUUGCACAGUCUGCGAUGACUGUAGUGUUCGUUCUUAAGGAAUAAAUAACUUAAGGUAGAGAAAUCUAACGGCGAAAGAUUUGUCUAAGUCUUUUGAUAUGACAUAUUUCGUAAAGUGCCACAGAGACGAAUUUUUAGGAAACUAAAAAACUGAAACGCGGUAAACCCAACGAGCAAGAAACCCAAAUUUUGGUAGGGGAGUUCUAACAAAGGAAUCAAACGGAGUUAGAGACCUGUAAAGGUAGAUAAAUGUUUGUCACUUUUUUAAAGUACAGAACAUGGCUUAUU
rnacentral:RNase_P_RNA from 1 species